UCCGAGUUGACCCCGGCAGUCUCCUAUGAGUCCCCGCCAUAACGCGCUGGCAACAUAGAACGAGGGUUGCGCUCGUUGCGGGACUUAACCCAACAUCUCACGACACGAGCUGACGACAGCCAUGCAGCACCUGUGCAAGGCCCCGAAGGACACCGUAUCUCUACGGCUUUUCCCUGCAUGUCAAGCCCAGGUAAGGUUCUUCGCGUUGCUUCGAAUUAAGCCACAUGCUCCGCCGCUUGUGCGGGUCCCCGUCAAUUCCUUUGAGUUUUAGCCUUGCGGCCGUACUCCCCAGGCGGGGCGCUUAAUGCGUUAGCUACGGCACGGAUUCCGUGGAAGGAACCCACACCUAGCGCCCACCGUUUACGGCCAGGACUAC
rnacentral:misc_RNA from 1 species